rnacentral:rRNA from 1 species
AACGAACGCUGGCGGCAGGCCUAACACAUGCAAGUCGAACGCCCAGUAAUGGGAGUGGCGCACGGGUGCGUAACGCGUGGGAAUAUGCCCUUCACUACGGAACAACGUUUGGAAACGAACGCUAAUACCGUAUAAUGACUCCGGUCCAAAGAUUUAUCGGUGAAGGAUUAGCCCGCGUUAGAUUAGCUAGUUGGUGAGGUAAUGGCUCACCAAGGCAACGAUCUAUAGGGGGUCUGAGAGGAUGAUCCCCCACACUGGAACCGAGACACGGUCCAGACUCCUACGGGAGGCAGCAGUGAGGAAUAUUGGACAAUGGGCGCAAGCCUGAUCCAGCCAUGCCGCGUGAGUGAUGAAGGCCUUCGGGUUGUAAAGCUCUUUUAACGGUGAAGAUAAUGACGGUAGCCGUAGAAAAAGCCCCGGCUAAAUUCGUGCCAGCAGCCGCCGUAA